rnacentral:rRNA from 1 species
GAUGAACGCUGGCGGCGUGCCUAAUACAUGCAAGUCGAGCGAACAGACGAGGAGCUUGCUCCUCUGACGUUAGCGGCGGACGGGUGAGUAACACGUGGAUAACCUACCUAUAAGACUGGGAUAACUUCGGGAAACCGGAGCUAAUACCGGAUAAUAUAUUGAACCGCAUGGUUCAAUAGUGAAAGACGGUUUUGCGGUCACUUAUAGAUGGAUCCGCGCCUCAUUAGCUAGUUGGUAAGGUACCGGCUUACCAAGGCAACGAUGCGUAGCCGACCUGAGAGGGUGAUCGGCCACACUGGAACUGAGACACGGUCCAGACUCCUACGGGAGGCAGCAGUAGGGAAUCUUCCGCAAUGGGCGAAAGCUUGACGGAGCAACGCCGCGUGAGUGAUGAAGGUCUUCGGAUCGUAAAACUCUGUUAUUAGGGAAGAACAAAUGUGUAAGUAACUAUGCACGUCUUGACGGUACCUAAUCAGAAAGCCACGGCUAACUACGUG